AACGAACGCUGGCGGCGUGGCUAAGGCAUGCAAGUCGAACGGAUCUAUCCAACGGGUAACUGAAGGGUAGAUUAGUGGCGAACGGGUGAGGAAUACAUGGACAACGUACCCUGGACACGGGGAUAGCGGCGGGCCGCAAGGCUCUUUAGCGAAAGUGCCGGUAAUACCCGAUGAUCCCGCAUGGUCGCAUGAUCGUGUGGGCAAAGCUCCGACGGUCUGGGAUCGGUUCAUGCCCUAUCAGCUAGUUGGUGAGGUAACGGCUCACCAAGGCGGCGACGGGUACCGGGCGUGAGAGCGUGACCCGGCACAUCGGAACUGAGAUACGGUCCGGACACCUACGGGUGGCUGCAGCAACGAAUAUUCCGCAAUGGACGAAAGUCUGACGGAGCGACGCCGCGUGU
rnacentral:rRNA from 1 species